rnacentral:rRNA from 1 species
AUGGGGCGCAGCAGGGGCGAAACCUCCACAAUGCGCGAAAGCGUGAUGGGGUUAUCCCGAGUGCCGUCCGGUGAGGAUGGCUUUUCAUCGGCGUAAGGAUCCGAUGGAAUAAAGGGGGGGCAAGACUGGAGUCAGCCGCCGCGGUAAUACCAGCCCCCUGAGUGGUAAGGACGAUUAUUUGGCCUAAAGCGUCCGUAGCCGGCUUAUCAAGUCUUUUGUUAAAUCCAACGGUUCAAUCGUUGGGCCGCAAAAGAUACUGUUAUGCUAGAGGACGGGAGAGGUCGACGGUAGUCCAGGGGUAGGGGUGAAAUCCUAUAAUCCUUGGAGGACCACCAGUGGCGAAGGCGGUCGACUAGAAUGUGCCUGACGGUGAGGGACGAAAGCUGGGGGAGCGAACCGGAUUAGAUACCCGGGUAGUCCCAGCUGUAAACGAUGCGGGCUAGGUGUUGGGGUAGCCACGAGCUGCCCCAGUGCCGCAGAGAAGUUAUUAAGCCCGCCGCCUGGGGAGUACGGCCGCAAGGCUGAAACUUAAAGGAAUUGGCGGGGGAGCAC